CCAACCUAGGGUUGUAACGAACAGAAGUGCCUUGAGAGAACCGAGUGAGCUUCAGUUUCUACUGCCAUGGCGCUCGAGUUCCGUUGCGGGCAUACAGUGAAACCCUAAAUCCCUUUCUUCUUCUAGCAGUAGGAGCUUUUCUCUCACUUCUCUUGCUCCGAAGAAAGGUUUUACACCAAAUUAUCCCUAUUUUUGUAUGUAUGUAUAUGCGUGAGAGACAAUGGCCGAUCCAAUGGGCUCUCGCGUAAGAUGAGAUGUGCGAGAGCUCAAUUUCACCCGGCCUAUAUCGAGUUUCAUUGCUUUUAAAGGGGCAUCCUCAAGGUAUAAGUCUAUUCUUAUAUUAUUAGCAUGGAAUUGUUUAGUGCGGGUGGUUUGAUUCCUGACCAUAAUGGAGAGUGGAUUGUGGGCUUCAUGACAUUAUCAUGGGCUGCAGAAGGUAGUGGUCGAGAUUGAUUCUGAAUUUGUUUUCCAGGCCAGCUAGAAGAGAGCAAGUCUAGGCCGGAAGCUCACACGUUCAAGACAUCAUCAUCAGUCAUGUUCCUAGGUAAGAGAACCAAUGUGGACUACUUGGCCAAUCUUGAUCAAACCACGGACUGGGGUACGACAAUAUUGGAUUGACCACCAGAAGGUAUCAUGUCUCUUUUGUUGAAGGAUGCUAGAGGGGUUGUGACGAGAAGAAUCUAUUAACCGGGACCUGAGUGGCCCUUUGGGGCACCAAAAAAAAGCAUUGAAUGUGUAUUAAUUAUGACUGAAUUGAGGGAGUAGUAUGAAAUUGUUAACAACACUUGUUUUUUUUGAGUUGUGGUAUUUGUUGUGUCUAAUUUCCCUACUCAUGUUGCUAAUAGGAAAGUAGACUUUUGAAGUCUAUUUGUUGGAUAUUUGGAUUAGGCUGUUUGAUUAACUUUUUUUUUUGUUUUUUUUGUUUUUGGAGUCUUGUAUUUUGUCAAACUGCCUAGUAUCUCAAUUUUUAGAGGAAAAUAGACAAACAAUACAAAACAAAUACUCUUUGAAGUUAUCACUA